CAGCAGAGCAUGAGACUCAGAAAGUCCUUGGUCAGAACCAAACACUACUGAGCAGCAACUAAAAACAUCGAUGUUAUCAGCGCUGUUCCCAGACUGAAAGUCAAAACCACAGCACUGCACCAGCUACUAAGAAGGAGAAAAAUGACUGCUGCUGCUGAACCCAGG